AACGAACGCUGGCGGCGUGCCUAACACAUGCAAGUCGAGCGAACCCUUCGGGGUGAGCGGCGGACGGGUGAGUAACGCGUGGGUAACCUGCCCUGUACACACGGAUAACAUACCGAAAGGUAUGCUAAUACGAGAUAAUAUAUUUUAAUCGCAUGGUUAAGAUAUCAAAGCUCCGGCGGUACAGGAUGGACCCGCGUCUGACUAGCUAGUUGGUGAGGUAAUGGCUCACCAAGGCGACGAUCAGUAGCCGACCUGAGAGGGUGAUCGGCCACACUGGAACUGAGACACGGUCCAGCCUCCUACGGGAGGCAGCAGUGGGGAAUAUUGCACAAUGAGCGAAAGCCUGAUGCAGCAACGCCGCGUGAGAGAUGAAGGCCUUCGGGUCGUAAAGCUCUGUCCUCAAGGAAGAUAAUGACGGUACUUGAGGAGGAAGCCCCGGCUAACUACGUGCCAGCCGCCGCCGUAA
rnacentral:rRNA from 1 species